rnacentral:rRNA from 1 species
CCUACGGGAGGCAGCAGUGGGGAAUUUUGGACAAUGGGCGCAAGCCUGAUCCAGCAAUGCCGCGUGCAGGAUGAAGGCCUUCGGGUUGUAAACUGCUUUUGUACGGAACGAAACGGCUCUUUCUAAUAAAGAGAGCUAAUGACGGUACCGUAAGAAUAAGCACCGGCUAACUACGUGCCAGCAGCCGCGGUAAUACGUAGGGUGCGGGCGUUAAUCGGAAUUACUGGGCGUAAAGCGUGCGCAGGCGGUUAUAUAAGACAGAUGUGAAAUCCCCGGGCUCAACCUGGGACCUGCAUUUGUGACUGUAUAGCUAGAGUACGGUAGAGGGGGAUGGAAUUCCGCGUGUAGCAGUGAAAUGCGUAGAUAUGCGGAGGAACACCGAUGGCGAAGGCAAUCCCCUGGACCUGUACUGACGCUCAUGCACGAAAGCGUGGGGAGCAAACAGGAUUAGAUACCCUGGUAGUCCACGCCCUAAACGAUGUCAACUGGUUNUUGGGUCUUCACUGACUCAGUAACGAAGCUAACGCGUGAAGUUGACCGCCUGGGGAAUCGGCCGCAGUUGAAACUCAAAGGAUUG